rnacentral:rRNA from 1 species
UACGGAGGGGGUUAGCGUUGUUCGGAAUUACUGGGCGUAAAGCGCACGUAGGCGGAUUAGAAAGCUAGAGGUGAAAUCCCAGGGCUCAACCCUGGAACUGCCUUUAGAACUACUAGUCUAGAGUUCGAGAGAGGUGAGUGGAAUUCCAAGUGUAGAGGUGAAAUUCGUAGAUAUUUGGAGGAACACCAGUGGCGAAGGCGGCUCACUGGCUCGAUACUGACGCUGAGGUGCGAAAGUGUGGGGAGCAAACAGG